CGGUGAAUACGUUCCCGGGCCUUGUACACACCGCCCGUCAAGCCAUGAAAGUUGGGGGUACCUAAAGCAUGUUACCGCAAGGAGCGCGUUAGGGUAAAACCGAUAAUUGGGGCUAAGUCGUAACAAGGUACCC
rnacentral:rRNA from 1 species